rnacentral:rRNA from 1 species
UGCGUAGGCGGCUUCUUAAGUCGGAUGUGAAAUCCCUGAGCUUAACUUAGGAAUUGCAUUCGAUACUGGGAAGCUAGAGUAUGGGAGAGGAUGGUAGAAUUCCAGGUGUAGCGGUGAAAUGCGUAGAGAUCUGGAGGAAUACCGAUGGCGAAGGCAGCCAUCUGGCCUAAUACUGACGCUGAGGUACGAAAGCAUGGGAGCAAACA